rnacentral:rRNA from 1 species
AUACGGAGGGGGUUAGCGUUGUUCGGAAUUACUGGGCGUAAAGCGCACGUAGGCGGACUGGAAAGUUGGGGGUGAAAUCCCGGGGCUCAACCCCGGAACUGCCUCCAAAACUUCCAAUCCAGAGAUCGAGAGAGGUGAGUGGAAUUCCAAGUGUAGAGGUGAAAUUCGUAGAUAUUUGGAGGAACACCAGUGGCGAAGGCGGCUCACUGGCUCGAUACUGACGCUGAGGUGCGAAAGCGUGGGGAGCAAACAGGAUUAGAUACCCUAGUAGUCC